CAUACUAUUAUUGUUUUAGAAUCGAUUGUACGGUCAUAAUAUAGACUAAUAUAGACGAUAAUAGCUAGCUACGGUUUAUCUUGUCCCUCCAUUCACACGGUAUCCGCACCGCCGCCAUUUGUCGUUGACGAGACUUCGUUUACGCUAUUUUCCGGUGUGCCGAUUGCCGACGCCAUUAAACGCCGAGCGCGCCAUCCGGGCUCCGGUGGCCAGUAUUGCGUAAUCGAACCACUCCACCGCCGUCGAUCACUAGCGCAACUAAGCACAGUAUCCUGAAAGUUUUUCGUAUUCCUCACUGCUGGCUCGCUCGCUACAUUUCACUGGAACCGCAUGUCAUACCUAUACCUAAUACGUACACUGUAUAGGUAUCUCGUGACGUAAAGUACUGAAGAACCUACAUUGGAAGUUAACGCAAAUACCUUACCACCUACUUACUCGACUUGUGCACAAAUCGAGACCCAGUGUAUUGCAGUUCUAUACACACUAAUUUACAAUGGCGGAUCGUAAGGUGGUUCAGAGUAAGGAAGCAAUAAUACUUGCAAUUGACAUUGGAAAAAAUUCUAAACAGCGAGAUUCAAAUGGAGUAACGUAUUUUAGAAAAAUCUAUUUCUUGCGCCUCUACAAUUUUAAAGAGAAAAAUAUUAAAUAAAAGUGAAGAUCAUUUGGCAUUAAUAUUGUUUGGGUCAUCUCAUACAAUUAAUCAUCUCUCAUCACAAGGAAGUUGUUAUGACAGUAUAGAAACUGUUGCUGGUUUUGGUAAAGCAACUUGGGAUUUAUUUAAUCGUGUUAAUAGUUU